rnacentral:lncRNA from 1 species
UGGGUUUGAGCAUUGGUUCUCAAGAGGAAAAAUUGAGUUUGAAAAUACGAACAGCCAUCAGACGACUCACGUGCUAAUAAGUCGUUCGUAUUUCCAACACAUUUUGAAAUUGAUCAAUAGGGGUCAGGAUACCCACGAAACCCCAAAACAGUUUAAAUAAUGCAGGAAUAUGCCAUGAGAUGCGAUAGUUAAACUUUACAUAAUCGAAACAUAUAAACACAU